rnacentral:tRNA from 1 species
GCCUACGUGGUGUAGUGGUCAGCAUGCUCGACACGUAUUCGAGAGGUCCGUGGUUCCAAUCCCGGAGAGGGCA